GAUGAAGAACGCAGCGAAAUGCGAUAAGUAAUGUGAAUUGCAGAAUUCAGUGAAUCAUCGAAUCUUUGAACGCACAUUGCGCCCGCCAGUAUUCUGGCGGGCAUGCCUGUUCGAGCGUCAUUUCAACCAUCAAGCCCCCGGCUUGUGUUGGGGCCCUGCGGCUGCCGCAGGCCCUGAAAAGCAGUGGCGGGCUCGCUGUCACACCGAGCGUAGUAGAUUUCAUCUCGCUCAGGGCGUGCUGCGGGUUCCGGCCGUUAAACCACCUUCAUAACCCAAGGUUGACCUCGGAUCAGGUAGGAAGACCCGCUGAACUUAAGCAUAUCAAUAAGCGGAGGA
rnacentral:misc_RNA from 1 species